GCUGGAAGCGUUACCAAGAGCACGUAAGCCUGCGUGUUCUCUUGCUUGGAGCACCAGAACAGAUUCGACGGUUCAACCAAUAAAAAUAUCUUCUGAGAACUACAGCAAGAAUCCAUGGAAUCUUAAUCAUGGGGAAGAUUCUGGAAGGAGAGCCAGACAGUGGGUUCUUUCCUGGAUUCUUCGCUAAAUGGUUCAAAUGACUCUUCAAUGAAUUCCUAACUGAAAUCCUGUUCCCAAACGUCACUGGAUUCUCCACUGGUGUGUCUCAAUCUGUGGGCAUUGUUUCAUGCAGAAGACAUUAAAUAAAAGGCAGUUGAGCAAAUACAAGCAAGAGACCGAACGUUUCAGCAAAGUCUACGGGCUCCAAACAGCCUUAGUUUGGAAGGCAAAAAAAUCCUCACAGCUUCCCCUACUGCAGCUUUGAUGACAGAUUCAACGGAAUAAGGCCAAGUGCCAAGGUAAAGCAUGAAAAAACCAUCUCAGUCCAGUCCCUACCUACUUUUCCUAAAUUAUUUCUUACCGAUAUCACCGGUGCACUUGAGGGACCAACCACAUGGAACUACUUAUCAUUCCCAGGUAUGUGACAUACAUUUCCAUCUCUGUACCCUUGCACAUGCUGUGUUUUCUGUGAAAUACCGA